rnacentral:misc_RNA from 1 species
GAUGAAGAACGCAGCGAAAUGCGAUAAGUAAUGUGAAUUGCAGAAUUCAGUGAAUCAUCGAAUCUUUGAACGCACAUUGCGCCCGCCAGUAUUCUGGCGGGCAUGCCUGUUCGAGCGUCAUUUCAACCAUCAAGCCCCAGGCUUGUUUUGGGGACCUGCGGCUGCCGCAGGCCCUGAAAACCAGUGGCGGGCUCGCUGUCACACCGGGCGUAGUAGAUUUUAUCUCGCUCAGGGCGUGCUGCGGGUUCCGGCCGUUAAAAAGCCUUUUUUACCCAAGGUUGACCUCGGAUCAGGUAGGAAGACCCGCUGAACUUAAGCAUAUCAAUAAGCGGAGGA